CUCUUAAACAAAAUCAAAACAGGACUAGAGAACCUCAGACCGACCCUAACAUCCCUGCUGUGAGGCCCGCGGGCUGUGGAAUCACGCACGUCACCUGGCCCCAGCAGGGCCGCCAGCUGAGGGGUUCUUUUUAUUUUAUUUUCCUUUAUUUUUUGAAGUUAAGGCUGAAUCUCGGCUUCAGUGCUUUUGCCAACGUCUUCCCUGAAAGGAACCAGCAAACUUCAGGACUCAAAUGAGCGUCUUAAUUUAUUGAUGCAAAACAGGUCUGCUUGUCGCCCCCAAUUCUCGGCGCGCUCGGUCCCCCACGCCCCCAGCUUCGGUCACUCCAUUCGAUUUCAGGGUCAAAAAGUGGAACACUGAGAUAAUUGACAAGUAAGACAUGGUACUUAAGGAGAAUCAGAGAAGACUAUCAGGAUGAAUUCUGAGCAUCUUCAGCUGGAUUUUCAUGGAUGCAAGGAGCUAAUACUUAUUGACAGCCUACUGUUUGCCGGCUCGGGCUACAUCCUUUAUCUAUUUUGUUUCAUUAAAUCCUCAAAGUAUCUUGUGAGCAUAAUUCUGGCUUCAUAGGAAGUGUCUGGAUGUCAUUCCCUCCUCUUCAGUUUUUUGGAGAAGUUUGAAAAGGAAAGCUUCACAUGUGAGAUAAAUGCACUCAAAGACUCCUCACAAGUAGCUCUUUGGAGCUUCAGACGUGAAAUGGAUCAUUCCUCAAUCUGUAAUAGACCCUUCUGUGAAGCUCUUCAAUCAAACCUGAGAAUUCAAGGCAUUUUGUAGCAUCCUAAACAGAAGGAUAUUGAAGGGAGCUGAUUCUGCUUUGAUCCUUGUGCUUGUUGUCAAAGCGCUUGGGAUUGAAGAGACUGUUGGCUACAAUUGACUGUGACAAUUAGGAGAUGAUCAGAGCCCUAGAGUGGAGCACUUAAAGGGUUUGCAUUUAAAACACUCUUGGAGCACUAAUUGUAUAAAAUUCUGGUAACUGCACAUUCUCUUUUUAGAGAGGUAAUGAGCGAAUGAAUGAAAAGGCAGGGAUUAUUUGCCAUUCUAAGAGCGGGGAUUUUCAGAACAUUUCUACUUGACUGAAAUUGUUUUGGAAGGUGAGCUGGAACAAGAAUCCUGCAAAUAAAAUGAAGUGACUCUGCAUGUGGUUUUGGGAUGUUUCUCUUCAUCAAAGAAUUCUGCAGAACCGCUCUGGGACUUAAGUUGAUUUAGAUUUUAUUUAUGAAAGAAUAUUUAGGUGAAUCCUAUGAAAACAUCUUAAAGUACACAUAUUUGACUCUUAACAAGUAAGUGGCAGUUUUUUGAAGGCUCAUUUGGAAUUAUUUGAAAAGAGUUUCCCUCUUACUAUCACAGUGUUUUUUCACUCUACAAAUUGCCAUGUUGUGACAAAAUAAAUUAUUGAAAUGCUUUGAUAAGUUUUUAGAAAUGUGCCCAAGGAAACAAUAUGUAAAUUGUUAAAGUUAAUUCACAUGUCAGUUUAUUGAAAUGUUGCUGCUACUGAAAACUCCAAGAACCUUUAGCACAACAUUCCAGAACAUUUGCAGUUUUAAUGAGUAGCUCUUUCUUUGUAUGUGCUUGGAGGUGGCAAUAGAGUUGCCAGAUACAGCAAAUAAAAGUAAAGAAUUCCUAGUUAAAUUUGAAUUUCUGAUCAAUAGUGAAUAUUUGUUCACAUAAACAUGUCCCGUGCCAUGUUCACUUUUUAUCAGGGAACCCUAGGUGGCACUCUGAUUGGGUAGAAAUUGCAACCAUGCAUUGAAUGGACAACCUAAUUAUUUAUAAAUUAUAAAUUGCCACUUAUAAAUCAUCUUACCUUUCACUGUCAGAUUAGAUAGGGCAACGAGCUUACCCCCUUCAAAUAGAAGCCACAAGGCUUUUUAACUCAUUAAUGCUGAGUUUAAUUUCCCCCAUCACGUUCCCUGCAUAAGCUGUGACUCGUCAUUUCAAGUAUAUAGUAAUUUCUGCCUGACUAAUAUAAUGGAGACUUCAGAGGUGGUGGCAGAGGAGUCUGGCUUACCCAUACUGAUCAGGCUCUGACUGGAGUGUUUCCUGGUUAUGGGGAUAGAGAACUGAAUGAGGCAUUGAGAAUAUAUUAUCUUUGUGAAGCCACAUCUUUCUUUGGUGGCAAUAUUAUGACUACAUAGGUAACCAAGUUGGAAACCCCUGCAAUUCAGAUCCCAGUUGGAGCAUCUGGGAAAGUAAAGUUUCUGUGUUUCUUUUAUUUUAUUGCACUGAACUUUGUUCACCAUAAUCUACUUGCUAUGAAAGAAGCUAAGCUAGAGCUUAGAGAAAAGUAUGUAUCUGAUGUAUCUUUGAAACCAGUGUUCAAGUCUCUCAAUAGUUUGAGCUGCUAUCACAAAGUAUCAUAGACAGUGUGGAUAAAUAACAGAAAUUUAUUUUUGAUGGUUCUGGAAGCUGGACGUCUGAGAUCAGAGUCCUGACAUGGCCAGGAUGUAGCAAGAGCCCUCUUCCACAUUUGUAAAUGGCCAUCUUCUUUUGUCCUCAAAUGGUGGAAAGCAGAGGACUCUGAUCUCUUUAGUCCCUGACAAGGGCACUAAUCCUGUUAGGGAGCACUCUACCCUCAUGACCUAAUUGUCAUCUCCCAAAGGCCGCACCUCCUAAUACGUAUCAUCACAUUAAACGUUAGUGUUUCAACAUAUGAAUUUGGCAGGGGAACACAAACAUUCAGUCUGUAACAAUUUUUCCCUGUCUUGGCGCUUUUUAUGGUCUGUCAGAAAGACUAUUUGUGCAGAAAAGUUUUAGGGUCCUGUUUUUCAUUCUCUAGGCCCCCUUCCAGUUUUAGCAGUAGCUUCAGGAAUGGUUCUUCACAAGCCCAGGCCUCCAGAGCAUUGUUUGAGUCUUCCUAAUUUCUGUCUCAGAGUCUUUUCCCGAACUGGAGAAGGCUGCUCAAUGCUUCCUCAAGGUUGGCAUGGAAAUGUGGGAGACAGUUAACACCAUCAAGGGCAGCCCUCAACGGAUGGGAGACAGGAGCUUGUGGACAAACAUUUCAACCACUUACCAUUUAGACAGGUAGAUCUGAGAAGCACUCAGCACGGUUAUGUAGGUAUCUAUCUCUGCAGGGAUCUUAUGUAGAUUGUUUGGAUUUUCCACCAAGCCUACUUCAUUCUGUACAUUUUUUCAGCCUGUUUCUAGGGGUAACCAACAUGCAUCCAAUUCUUCAUCUCAGGCUCUGUUUUAGGGUAACUCCAACUAAGACACCCCGAUGCUAUCUUCUUCCCAGCACCAUGGCCCUCUCCUUGCUCUGAGUCUGGAUGCUUUGCUUCCUUUGGUUCCACCAAAGUUUACUUUUCUUAUUAUCAGAGGAAGACCAUUCUGCUGAUGUACCUGCUAUUAAAACAGAGUCAUAUUGCUUAAAAAAGUAUAUCAUGCACAUCCCCAUCACCUAACCUCCAUUACAGUGAAAGCUACUUUUUAUUUGGACACACACUCCACAUGAGGGUACAUGCUAAAGGAUACAUGAAUAAUGUUUUAUUUAGUCCUCAAUGUAUCACCAAGAAAGAAUCAACAUUUCUAUUUCAUAGACAAAGAAACUGAGGCUCAGAAGGACUAAGGGAUUUCCUUCAAGACCAUGAAGCUAGUGAGUGGUAGGAUAAGCAUUGACUUCUGACCUGACUCCAAAGCCCAUUUUUUAAGCUACUGUUCUAUAGAAACUACCAUAUAAAGCUCUUAGAAAUUAAUAUUUCUUUGUCAAAUUCUAGUAUGAACAGCUAAAGAGAUGAUUGGGUAGGGAGUAGGGACCAGAACUGGUUCAUAUCAAAGAAGGAAUUUUUUUUUUUUAAAGCUCUUGUUUUUGGAGCACCUGGGUGGCACAGACAGUUAAGUCUCUGACUCUUGUUUUUGGCUUAUCAUGAUCUCAGGGUUGUGAGAUCAAGUGCCACCUUGGGCUAUGCAUUAAGAAAAAAUAGGAAAAUUUUGGUUACUAAAUUUGGUCACAAAGUUUGUGCUGUUGGUGACAUUCCUGCAGUCUGCUUUAUGGUUGUUUAAGUGGUCAAUCUCUCUCUCUUUUGGC